AGAUAGCACUUCGUGGUUUUUGAUUUGGUACUCGAGGUUGAAAAGUGGCGGUUCUACGCGUGAGAGGAUAUAUUUAUGUUAAGAUUAAACUGGAUGUGUUGAUGUAUUUAAUUCUGCAUUUAAUUCUGGACUAGCUUCAUUUCCUCGAGCAUCUGGAAAAUGCUACAGGGCCAAUAAUCUCAGCAAAGUGACAAUAGGAUGAUGACAAGGACCUUAAACUGGAAAAGGUUUCAAGGUCAACAAUCUCUCCAGUUCUUCCCACAAUUUCCUACUAUAUUUUAUUAUCUCAUCUACUACCUUUUUCUCCCUCCACCAUCCUUUGCCUGAUGUUUAUUUUUCUUAUUUUCAAUGGAGCGAGGUGAUAAGAGUAUGACCAGAACUGUUUCGAGCAACUGAAAAGGACUACAAGCAAGUUGACAAGAGGAUGACAAAAACUGUCUUGAGCAACUGGAAAAGGCUAUAAAUUCAACAAUCUCCUCAAGUUUUACCCACAAUUUCUUACUUCAUUUCUUUCUCUU